AGCAUGGGGAAGUGGGAUGAGCUCGACUUUUCUCAACGGUAUACAUGGAGUGCUGCUUAGUGCUCUUAGAUAGGGUAUGAGAUAUUUGCAUAACCCUUGUUCUUUUCAACAAAGGCUGGCCAACAAACAAUCACUUUUUCCCCAUGGAUGUAACAUGCAAGUCCUGGCCAUAUCAUGAAAACUAACAAAAAGCUGUCCUGAGCUCCAACACCUGCUUAAAAUUAAGCCAUUUCUCUCAAUUUUCCAUGGCAAAGCCCAUUAAUGUAAGGUAAGGAACACUGACCAGGCAUUGAAUAACCUUGCUGGUACAUACUGCUUAAACAUCUUUGACACAGUUGAUGUUGUUUGUGCAUGUUUGUGCAAACACAGAUGUACACAAAGCUUGUGCCAAGGCUCAUUGCAAGAUCAGAAAGGAGAAAACAUCUUAGCAUUGGCUUUAGAAGAUGUUGGUCACUUGAAGACUGAUACAGACACAGACGUUCUGUCUUUGGAAGAGAUCCUGUCCGGUGAGACAACAUUGCCAUGGCAACAAUCACACAGUGACUCUGUCAGUUUUCACACAAAAACAAGGGCAAUCGAUGACAUCAUGAUAGUAAAGAGACUGGAAGAGGAAAAGAGGAUCCUUGUUGAUGGAUCAUCAUUGGAAAUCUCUGUCAUCCUAUGAAGACACUCUAAAGGAGUUUCCAGCCUAUUAUCGGGAGGUAAAUUUAAAAGUCCAAGAGGUCUCCAGAGCAUCAUCCUCAGAGAGCUGCAGCACCAACAGAUGAAGCUGCAGGCAACAGAGUAUUAUCUACAGCAGGGGUGCCCAAAGUUGGUCCUGGAGGGCCGGCAUCCUGCAUGUUUUAGUUCUCUCCCUUGUUUAACACACCUGCAUCAAAUGAUGGCUCGUAAGAAGCCUAAGAUGAACACUGACAAGCUGAAAAGGUUGUUACUACCACCAGGGAGAGAACUAAAACAUGCAGGAUGCCGGGCCACUUGGACCGACUUUGGACACCCCUGAUCUACAGACUUUAUCAGGAGCAGAGAGUGUUACCUUUGACGACGACUUCAGUAGUGACUGAUAAUAGUCUGUAAUCAUUUGUGAAUGUACUGCUGCAAAGAUCUACACUGUCACACCAUUGUAGAUCUUUAGAUCUUUGCAGCAGUACAUCUUUGUCAGUGACACAAACACACACACACACACGCACACACGCACACAUACACACACACACACACACACACACACACACACUGUAUAUAUAUAUUAGUUUGCUCAUAAGUCACAAAGAGACAAUACAAUUUGUUCUUGUGCUUUCAUGUUUCCAAAUGGAUAGUGUUUUAUCUUAUUGAUUCUUUUUUUUUAAAUAGUUAAUUUGUUUGUGUCUUUGUACUUUCUAAAAGGGCUUACUAGAGUUGUAAUUGCUUCCGCAGGCAUGUCAUUGAGUGUGUUUCUUUUUCACUUAUGUUUCUGCACAUCUAGUGAAUUUUCUAGGUAAUAAGAGAAAUUGUAGUUAAUUUAAUAGUUUGUUACUAUUUUUACUUGAAGUGGAAUAAUAACACUUGUGCUUAUGUUGAGCAGUUAAAAAUGGCAACAAUACUACGUUAAGAGGUCUCAGUGAUUCUGUAGUAACUAGCAUAACCAAGACAUCUUUUUGGAUCUUCUACUUUUAUUUAUUUUUUUUAUUAAUAUGUGCAGCUCUGACUUAUUUCUUAAUCCAAAGAAUGCACAAAGUGUGUACUGGUGGAACAAUUUCUUAUCCUUGCUCAAUUGAAUGCAGUUCAGUUUGUCUGUCAAUG